rnacentral:rRNA from 1 species
AUACGUAGGGGGCGAGCGUUGUCCGGAAUGACUGGGCGUAAAGGGCGUGUAGGCGGCGGUGUAAGUCUGGAGUGAAAGUCCCGCAUUCAAUGUGGAAAUUGCUUUGGAUACUGCAGUGCUAGAGUGCGGAAGAGGUAAGUGGAAUUCCCAGUGUAGCGGUGAAAUGCGUAGAGAUUGGGAGGAACACCAGUGGCGAAGGCGACUUACUGGGCCGUAACUGACGCUGAGGCGCGAAAGCGUGGGGAGCGAACAGGAUUAGAUACCCUGGUAGUCCACACUGUAAACGAUGAAUGCUAGGUGUAGGGGGUAUCGACCCCUUCUGUGCCGCAGUCAACACAAUAAGCAUUCCGCCUGGGGAGUACGGCCGCAAGGUUGAAACUUAAAUGAAUUGGCGGG